rnacentral:rRNA from 1 species
AACAUCUAAGUAGGGCCAGGAAAAGACAUCAACCGAGAUUCCGCUAGUAGUGGCGAGCGAACGCGGAGGAGGCCAAACCGAGGGACGCAAGUUCUUCGGGGUUGCGGACAGACAUCAUGACCAGAGGUAAUUAAGAGAACGGCGUGGGAAAGCCGGCCAUAGAAGGUGAGAGCCCUGUAUCUGAAAAUGAAGACUGGCAGUCUGGAUCCAGAGUACCGCGGGACACGUGAAACCCCGUGGGAAACCGGGUGGACCACCAUCCAAGCCUAAAUACUACCUGAUGACCGAUAGAGGAGCAGUACCGUGAGGGAAAGGUGAAAAGGACCCCGGGAGGGGAGUGAAAGAGAACCUGAAACCUUGUGCUUACAAGCAGUCAAAGCACGUUAAGGUGUGAUGACGUACUUUUUGUAGAACGGUCCGGCGAGUUAUAGUAACGAGCAAGCUUAAGGUAUUGAGUACCGGAGGCGAAGCGAGAGCGAGUCUGAAUAGGGCGUAAAGUUCGUUGCCAUAGACCCGAAACCGGGUGACCUAUCCAUGAGCAGGCUGAAGUGAGAGUAAAAUCUCAUGGAGGGCCGAACCGACCCCCGUUGCAAUGGUGGCGGAUGACUUGUGGAUAGCGGAGAAAUUCCAAUCGAACUCGGAGAUAGCUGGUUCUCCCCGAAAUAGCUUUAGGGCUAGCGUUAUGUUAGAUUACCGGAGGUAAAGCACUGAAUGGUGGCGGGGCCGAUAAGGUUACCAAGACCUAUCAAACUCUGAAUGCCGGAUAAUUGAUGCAUAGCAGUCAGACAGCGUGAGAUAAGUUUCGUUGUCAAAAGGGAAACAGCCCAGACCCACAGCUAAGGUCCCAAAUUCAUGCUAAGUGGAAAACGAUGUGGAAUUGCGAAAACAACCAGGAUGUUGGCUUAGAAGCAGCCACUCAUUAAAAGAGUGCGUAAUAGCUCACUGGUCGAGUGACUCUGCGCGGAAAAUAUAACGGGGCUAAGCAUGAAACCGAAGCUUGGGCUUGUCGUAAGACAGGGGUAGGGGAGCGUCGAGUAUGGGGUGAAGUCAGAGCGGAAGCACUGGUGGACUGUACUCGAGUGAGAAUGCCGGAAUGAGUAGCGAGAAUUAUGUGGGAAUCAUAAUGGCCGAAAAUCUAAGGUUUCUUGGGGAAGGUUCGUCCGCCCAAGGUAAGUCGGGAGCUAAGCUCAGGCCGAGAGGCGUAGGCGAUGCACAUACGGUAGAAAUUCCGUGACCACCGAAACUUAAACAGAGGGACACUUCGAAAUAGCGGAACCCGGGCGUUGGUUGACCCGGGCGAAAGGGAGCGAAAUUAGAGUAGCGAAGUCCGCGAUGUUCGGAGGCGAGAAAAGCUCUGAGGUAUGCUAAGGUGCCCGUACCGCAAACCGACACAGGUAGAUGAGGAGAGAAUCCUAAGGCCAACGGGAGAAGGGUUGUUAAGGAACUCGGCAAAUUGACCCCGUAACUUCGGAAGAAGGGGAGCCCCCUACGGGGGGUCGCAGAGAAAUGGCCCAAGCAACUGUUUACCAAAAACACAGGUCUAUGCUAAAUCGAAAGAUGACGUAUAUGGGCUGACGCCUGCCCGGUGCCGGAAGGUUAAGAGGAGAUGUCAGGCAACGAAGCAUUGAAUUUAAGCCCCGGUAAACGGCGGCCGUAACUAUAACGGUCCUAAGGUAGCGAAAUUCCUUGUCAGGUAAGUUCUGACCCGCACGAAUGGCGUAAUGAUUUGGGCACUGUCUCAACAGCCCGCCCGGCGAAA